CGAUAGAUAAGAAUCUAACGCAACUUACAAUUACAUUCAGUUGAAAAUGUCAUCAGUAAUCGAAAUGGACACAACAUUCUAGUAGGUUAAACUUUAUAUAUUUAUUUAUGUGUUCUUAUUUUAAUAGAAUUCAAUGGUUUUAGUUGCAUCGUUCAUUCAAAAAGAAGGAAUAUUCCGGUUGAAAAUUGAUUGGAACUCGUGUUGUAAUUGUGCGUGAUAUGUGCGUUUAAGAAUGUGGAUGUGAUUUUUUUUUCUUCGCAAAGUGUUUCAUCAGGAGAAGAAUGGAAAUUUCUGACCAAGUCGGAAGUUCUUACGCCGUUGCUCUCAAUCAAAACAGAACCGUUAAUGAUGAUGGGCUAAACGUCGAAACCGCAGAGGAGGAUCACAAACAAUGGGGUUAUAUCAGAUUAAAG